rnacentral:rRNA from 1 species
UACGGGGGGGGCAAGCGUUGUCCGGAAUUACUGGGCGUAAAGGGCUCGUAGGCGGCCAACUAAGUCAUACGUGAAAUCCCUCGGCUUAACCGGGGAACUGCGUCUGAUACUGGAUGGCUUGAGGUUGGGAGAGGGAUGCGGAAUUCCAGGUGUAGCGGUGAAAUGCGUAGAUAUCUGGAGGAACACCGGUGGCGAAGGCGGCAUUCUGGACCAUAACUGACGCUGAGAGACGAAAGCCAGGGGAGCAAACGGG